UGGUUCUGGCAUCGAUGAAGAACGCAGCGAAAUGCGAUAAGUAAUAUGAAUUGCAGAGUUAAGUGAAUCAUCGAAUCUUUGAACGCACAUUGCGCCCGCCAGUAUUCUGGCGGGCAUGCCUGUCUGAGCGUCAUUUCACCACUCGCAACCGGCUUUGCUGGAUGCGGCGUUGGGGAUCGGCUCCCGCAAGGGUGCCGUCCUCGAAAUGGAGUGGCGGUCUCGCUGCGACCUCCUCUGCGUAGUACUCUAUUCUCGCAGGUGGAUAGCAGCGUGGCCACGCCGUAAAACACCCAACCUUUCUUAUGGUUGACCUCAGAUCAGGUAGGAAUACCCGCUGA
rnacentral:misc_RNA from 1 species